CGAGUUUGAUCAUGGCUCAGGAUGAACGCUAGCGGCAGGCUUAAUACAUGCAAGUCAAGGGGGUAGCAAUACAACCGGCGCACGGGUGAGUAACACGUACACAACAUACCAUAUACUGAGGUAUAGCUUCGGGAAACUGAAGGUAAUCCCUCAUAGUAUUGUGAAAGGGCAUCUUUUUACAAUUAAAGUUUCGACGGUAUAUGAUUGGUGUGCGUUUGAUUAGCUAGUUGGUAGGGUAACGGCCUACCAAGGCAACGAUCAAUAGCUGGCGUGAGAGCGCGACCAGCCACACUGGAACUGAGACACGGUCCAGACUCCUACGGGAGGCAGCAGUAGGGAAUAUUGGACAAUGGGCGAAAGCCUGAUCCAGCCAUGCCGCGUGAUAGAUGAAGGCCCUCUGGGUUGUAAAUAUCUUUUAUCUGGGAAGAAACACUUCUAUUCUUAGAAGCUUGACGGUACCAGAGGAAUAAGCACCGGCUAACUCCGUG
rnacentral:rRNA from 1 species